rnacentral:rRNA from 1 species
AUUCCAGCUCCAAUAGCGUAUAUUAAAGUUGUUGCAGUUAAAAAGCUCGUAGUUGGAUCUCGGGAGCGAGCGAGCGGUCGGGCGUUCAGCCGUGUACUUCUCACUCAUCCUACUGACCGGUACGUGCCCUGUGCUCUUAACCGAGUGUAGGGACCGUCUGGUGCGUUUACUUUGAAAAAAUUAGAGUGCUCAAAGCAGACGAGUCGUCUGAAUAGCCGUGCAUGGAAUAAUGGAAUAGGACCUCGGUUCUAUUUUGUUGGUUUUCGGAAGUCGAGGUAAUGAUUAAGAGGGACAGACGGGGGCAUUCGUACUGGGCCGCCAGAGGUGAAAUUCUUUAACUGGCUCAUGACGAACAACUGCGAAAGCAUUUGCCAAGAAUGUUUUCAUUG